rnacentral:rRNA from 1 species
UGCAAGUCGAACGAGAAGCUGACUUCGGUCAGUGGAAAGUGGCGGACGGGUGAGUAAUAUGUAGAGAAUCUGCCCUUGAGUGGGGGACAACAGAGGGAAACUUCUGCUAAUACCCCAUAUGAGCUAACUUGAAAUAGUUAUCUUGAAAACUCCGGUGCUCAAGGAUGAGUCUGCAUCUGAUUAGCUAGUUGGCGGUGUAAUGGACCACCAAGGCGACGAUCAGUAGCUGGUUUGAGAGGAUGAUCAGCCACAAUGGGACUGAGACACGGCCCAUACUCCUACGGGAGGCAGCAGUAGGGAAUUUUGCGCAAUGGGCGAAAAAGCCUGACGCAGCAACGCCGCGUGAACGAUUAAGCCCUUCGGGGUGUAAAGUUCUGUCAGUAGGGACGAAUUUUGACGGUACCUACAGAGGAAGCACCGGCUAACUCCGUGCCAGCCGCCGC